rnacentral:siRNA from 1 species
CAGCUUUUAGUUGUUGUAGCC